UAUCUCUUGGGCCGCUUCCAAGGCAUAUGGAGGUUCCCAGGCUAGGGGUUGAAUUGGAGCUGUAGCCACCGGCCUACGCCAGAGCCACAGCAAUGCGGGAUCCGAGCCGCGUCUGCAACCUACACCACAGCUCACGGCAACGCCGGAUCGUUAACCCACUGAGCAAGGCCAGGGACCGAACCCGAGACCUCAUGGUUCCUAGUCGGAUUCGUUAACCACUGCGCCACGACGGGAAUUCCGAAUCAUGAGCUCUUAAGCCUUAAGACAUCCACCUGUCUGCACCAGGCAAACCCACACACAGCAGAGCUUCCAUGGGCAGCAUCAGAGCUAAAUAUUCAGGAAUAUUAUUAAAAGUGAAAAAUGUUAAUGGAAAUGAUCAAUUUCCACUUGGAUAAGUGAAAGCUAGUAUUCACUCAUACUAGUGAAUUAAAAAAAAAAAAAAAAAACAGAAAAAGCAGCUUCUAAAUCCUAUUUUCCAUUUCCACUGGAUUAGAUUUUAAAAUCUAUUCUAAACCUAGAACUCAAGCCAAGAGUGAGAAUUAUUAAACAUCUUUAUUUCAAUGUCAUUUACAAGGAAAAGGUUGCCGAACCUUUUUUCAUAAACCAUGAAAAUAAACUGGCUAAAGUCUCUCGCUAAAACUUCCUGAUAAUAUACAAGACAUAACAAUGCAAGCUGUUUUUAUUUUAUCCCAAAGGUAUUUGGAAGUUAAAUUCAUCAGGGAUGCCAAGAAAAUAUAUAUUCAUUUCUAAAGAGGUGAGUUAACAGAUGAAGUAAGGUUUCCAUACAAUAGUCAAUACCCCAAGAUAUACAUCCAUUCACUGUACAGAACUCACCUGCAGGAGGAAUUUCAUAGAAUGUCCCUUCCUCCAACUUAUGAGUCAUUUCCUCCAUAUGCAAAGAUGGAUUUGGAUUUUCUGCAAUUCAUGAGCAACUGAGCCCCAGGCAAGAGACCAUGAGGCUACCUUCUGACUCCUGGUAAAAUUCCCCUUGGGGCUUGGGGACCAGCAAGUCAGCAGCUGUGGGACAGCUGUGCAACACGGUCCCUAAGCCCUACUGUUGGACAGCUUUGGUCCUUACUCAUAUCUUUUGUCCUUACUUCCCACAAAAGCUUAAAUGUUUUGAAACACUGAGGGCAUGAAUGCUUUUUGUUUGUGAACACCUUAUAUUACGUGCACCAUCUACAGGAGAACUGGAAGAGAAGAGGCCAACGGCUCUUUCCAAGAGAUUUUUAUCUUUUGUCUUUUCAGGGCCAGACCCGUGGCAUAUGGAGGUUCCCAGGCCUGAAAAAGGAACAAAAGAAAAAGGAAAUGCUUUAAUCUUGCCCUGAAGAUUGAAAGCAUGAGCCAUAAUAGCCCAAUCAUCAAGCCAACUCCUCCCUAAAUGCAGUCACCAGCAAAAAGCAAGAGUGGAGGCAAGUGAGAGAAGAAGGUAAGGCUUCAAAAUUCUAAAGUAAAAUCUAUCCAGCCCAGAAUUCUAACCCAAGCCAAACCAAUCAGUCAACUGGACGGAUAGGAUAACUACACACAAGUUCUCAAAACAUGCAUAUUUAGUGCAUUUCCUCUGGGCUCUCAGGGCUAGAGAGCUCGUUCUCUCAAUACCUGAGAGUUCACCAAGAAAAGAGCCCAGAGAGAGAGAAAAUAGACAGGCAUGAAGGACUCAGAGCAAACACCCGAAACCAUCAUGAAUAAUCUCAAGGAGGGGGAAUGGGGACUCCCC
ensembl:lncRNA